rnacentral:rRNA from 1 species
ACUCCUACGGGAGGCAGCAGUGAGGAAUAUUGGACAAUGGGCGGGAGCCUGAUCCAGCCAUGCCGCGUGCAGGAAGACUGCCCUAUGGGUUGUAAAACUGCUUUUGUACAGGAAAGAAACACUCCCUCGUGAGGGAGCUUGACGGUACUGUAAGAAUAAGGAUCGGCUAACUCCGUGCCAGCAGCCGCGGUAAUACGGAGGGCGCAAGCGUUACUCGGAAUCACUGGGCGUAAAGAGCGUGUAGGCGGAUCGAUAAGUCAGGAGUGAAAUCCUAUGGCUCAACCAUAGAACUGCUCUUGAAACUGUCAAUCUAGAGUAUGGGAGAGGUAGAUGGAAUUUCUGGUGUAGGGGUAAAAUCCGUAGAGAUCAGAAGGAAUACCGAUUGCGAAGGCGUCUACUGGAACAUAACUGACGCUGAGACGCGAAAGCGUGGGAGCAAACAGGAUUAGAUACCCUGGUAGGUGA